GGAGUAUCCAUGAUGGCCAUACAGCCAAGUGAUGCUGCCUACCUGGUUGGAGAUUAACACAGCGAUGGGGCCAGCCAGCCAGGGGUCAACCUCCACCUGCUUGGCAUUCAACACCCCAGCUGUCCUGUGUUAAAGCCAGAAGAAAUCUAGAAAUCAGCAGCCAGGGCGAAAGCAGCUUCUCCAUCUUUUAUAAACACAAACUGUAUCGUCAUAGUGUCAGAAUCUUUGCUGGAGACUUCACUUCAAAAUGACAUUAACAGAAAACUAUGAACAAAAGAAGAAAACGGCUGAUUUUUUUCCUGAACUUUCCUUCGUGGCCCACCAUUGUCUGACUUCGGACUGUCUUUUGCCUGUCUUUAAAAAGAUGAGCAAGAGACCAUAAUUGUGUGGUUUCAUUUGCUCUUACACCAUUAGCCCCCUUUUCUCACUCAGACUAGCCAAAUGUGACAACCCGGGGGCGAGUGAUCUUCCACUGCUCUUUAGCAGAGAUCACUGCCCGACUUUAUCUGGGCCACAAAACCAACUAUGUAACAAAGGACCUUGACCUUUAUGUUGAGAGGAAGCAACAAUUACUGUCCCUAAGCCCUGGGACCAGCAGCAUUUUUGAGGAGAAAAAAGAGAACCAAGAAAAAGAAAACUCCCUGAGAAGUAGGGAAGGUCCCUGAAAUAGCCACUUGGGGACUUCUUGAUUGAGAUUACAGAAAAUUUAGCAUCUUUUCCAUGGACAAAGGUGCUGCUGUUUGCUCUGAGCUGUCAGCAAUUAACUGUGUACAGUAUGAAAUGUAACCCCGACCCAUCUGCCGGAUCCUUCUCCUUGUCUUCUUUUGUCAAUGGUGUGACAUUAACACCACCAUAUGUCAUUUGUGUCAUGCAUCAAAUACAUGCCUGUUGGUCUCCAAACAAUAUGUCCAGAAAAACAGAGCAUUACAACCCCAAAAAGGAAACAGGAAAGAGAGCUCUGCCCCCUGCUGUUGCUGUUAAGCAAGAUUCCCCUAAAGGCACCGUACCAUGGAAGAUGGAAAGAAAGCAGAGGAAGACAUUCUGUGUUCUGGAAAAUGAAAAGCAACCGUGGCGAGAAGCUGUGACUGCUGUUAUCAGAAUGAUGGAAACAUGGCUUUAAGCCCCAGCCUCCCCACAUUGAUGUCCUUUCUUCAAGCCCAGGCAUCUGAUCUGUAGUAGUCAAUAUCCAGCUAUGUUAUACUUUUUGUUUUUAAUUCCUAAAUGAUGGGACAUUUAAGUUUGUCUCUGCAGGAAGGUUUAAGGAAAAAAACCUCAAAACUGUGUAUUAAUGUGUCAUGAUACAGAAGUCUUUAUGAACAGCAUUGUACAGCAAAUGAAAAACACCACGACGAGGCAGAGAGAGACCACAGAAGAAAGCAAUAGGUGUGCUCUGGCAACUGUCACGUUGAUUCCUGUCAGCCCCCGCCAGCCUGGGAAGUAGACUUUCACCACAAGAUGGAAAAGUAAGAGGGGAGAUUAUGAGGGGCUCCCAGCCUGCCUGACAGCAGUAGGAGAAGAGUCGGAACUCUUGGACUUUUUGCUUUGAGGCAUUUAAAUGGAAAUUAAAGUAAAUUUGCUCUUUUGGGAUAAUUCAUCCUUUUCUUGUGAUUUUUGAAACUAUGAAAUGUUGGAGCACUUAGGUAGGAAGAUGUUUUUGAAGUUUUGAGGUGCUUCCUUGAUGUUUCAACUUUGAAGCUCCUGUCUGUGAAUAAGUUCAGCCCUUAUUCCACCUUUCUCUUCUGAACAAUGCCAGUGAGUGAGAAGAAAAUAUCCAGUAGGGAGAAGUCACUUAUCUUUGAUCCACACACAAACCCCGCUCCAUUUAGCCAAUAGAGGAGCAGGAUUCAAAAAUGCCCGUCUGUCUGGAAACCACGCACAUCACAUUUAAUAGAAUGGGCAGCGACUGCACCUUCUAUCUCUAACUACUGCCUUUCUGCCUCCCAGAUGCCCCAGUGCAGACACGCUCUCUUAAAGGAGUCUCCUCGUGAC
ensembl:lncRNA